rnacentral:sRNA from 1 species
GCUGGGCAUGGUGGUGCAUGCCUGUAAUCCCAGCAGCUUGGGAGGCUAAGGCAGGAGGAUCUCUAGUUCAAAGCCAGCCUCAGCAAAAGUGAGGUGCUAAGCAACUCAGUGAGACCCUGUCUCUA